GUAAGUUAAGUAGCUGCGUGUACGAUUUUUCGUGCAUGAGGAAAGUCCGAACUCCACAGAGCAGGUUAACGGUUAACGACCGCCGAGGGCAACCUUAGGGAAAGUGCAACAGAAAUAUACCGCUCGGUUUUAUAACGAGUAAGGAUGGAAAGGCGAGGUAAGAGCUCACCGGCAUAUAAGAGAUUAUAUGGCCAUGCAAACCCUAACCGGAGCAACACCUGUUUUGGUAUAAUUUAUGCGCUUGCUCGGCGCUUUAUAAAGGUGGCAAUGAGUCACUGCGGCAACGCUUGACCCAGAUAGAUAGUUACUCACGACAGAAUUCGGCUUAUCGAUUUACUCUU
rnacentral:RNase_P_RNA from 1 species